rnacentral:rRNA from 1 species
GACGAACGCUGGCGGCGUGCUUAACACAUGCAAGUCGAACGGAAAGGCCCUGCUUUUGUGGGGUGCUCGAGUGGCGAACGGGUGAGUAACACGUGAGUAACCUGCCCUUGACUUUGGGAUAACUUCAGGAAACUGGGGCUAAUACCGGAUAGGAGCUCCUGCUGCAUGGUGGGGGUUGGAAAGUUUCGGCGGUUGGGGAUGGACUCGCGGCUUAUCAGCUUGUUGGUGGGGUAGUGGCUUACCAAGGCUUUGACGGGUAGCCGGCCUGAGAGGGUGACCGGCCAAAUGGGGAAUGAGAUACGGCCCAGACUCCUACGGGAGGAAGGAGGGGGGAAUUUUGCACAAGGGGCGGAAGCCUGAGGCAGCAACGCCGGGUGGGGGAGGACGGCCUUCGGGUUGAAAACCGCUUUCGCCGGUGACGAAGGGGGAGGGACGGUAAUGGGUAAAGAAGCACCGGCUAAAUACGG